GCUUACGGCCAUACCACCCUGAACACGCCUGAUCUUGUCUGAUCUCGGAAGCAAAAGAUGGUUGGGCUUGGUCAGUACUUGGAUAGGAGACUUCCUAGGAAUACCAGGUGCUGUAAGCU
rnacentral:rRNA from 1 species